GCAAUAAUCAUCUCAAAAACAAUCACACACCACCAACCAAGCAGGAUAAAACAAGAAAGCUAACAAAAAGAUAAAAGUGAUACACAUAUCUACUCUCACCCCCCUCCCCCAAACUUAUUACAGAACAUAAGUUCGAAAAUAAGUUUGGAGGGAUGAUGAUAUGUGUGUCACUACUCACAGAAAAACAUGCUCCAUGGUGGUGGUAUGAACCAAGCGCGAGUUCCCGCAUCUACCAAGCUCAACGCUGCACUAAAAACCCCAAAACAAAGAAAACAAAGAAAACAAAGAAACAAAAAGAAACUAAACGAAAGGAAAACAAAACAAAGAAACGGUUGGGUUACCUCCCAACAAGUGCUUAAUUUAACGUCUAGAGCUCGACGAUACCUCAAAAACUCAUGGAGGUCGGAAACAGCACUCUAACCAUUGGAAAGCUUUUCUACUCUUGGGUGCCCUCUCCACCAAAACACUUCUCUUGGCUCGAACAUCCUCCACAAGCAUUG
rnacentral:lncRNA from 1 species